GACGGGGGAUGCAAGCGUUAUCCGGAAUCACUGGGCGUAAAGCGUCUGUAGGUGGUGAUGCAAGUCACUGGUGCAAAACUCUGGCUCAACCGGAGGAAAGCCAGUGAAACUGCAUGACUAGAGUGUGGGAGAGGUAGAAGGAAUUCCCUGAUUAGCGGUGAAAUGCGUAGAUACAGGGAAGAACACCGGAGGCGAAAGCGUUCUACUGGAACACAACUGACACUGAGAGACGAAAGCGAGGGGAGCUAAUGGG
rnacentral:rRNA from 1 species